UGCAUGAAGUCGGAAUUGCUAGUAAUCGCAGAUCAGCAUGCUGCGGUGAAUACGUUCCCGGGCCUUGUACACACCGCUCGUCACACCAUGGGAGUCGGUAACACCCGAAGCCUGUAGUCUAACCGCAAGGAGGACGCAGUCGAAGGUGGGAUUGAUGACUGGGGUGAAGUCGUAACAAGGUACC
rnacentral:rRNA from 1 species